rnacentral:lncRNA from 1 species
CUGAUCGGGAGAAGCUAGUGAAAGAAAACAUGGUACUAGGGGAUGAGGUUUGUGAUGAGCUGUCGCAACCCAUACAAAUUUGAUUGCAUAUGAGAAAUGUAGUAUAGCUAGGGAAUGACCCCGAGGUCGACUCCUAAAGACCAAUUUUGAGGUUUGAGAAUCGAGUCUAACACGAAGGGGGGGUGGGGGGAUUGAAAAGGUUUUGCAAAAAUUAAAGAACUCAAUAAAGACACAAAUGCAAAUAACUAAUUUAAGCUAGCAUGGUAAUUAAACUAACACUAUUAAAGACCUUAGACAACAUUCAAACAUGAAACACUGCUACAAACAAAUUAACAAACACAAUUAAAAAUAAUUAAAUUCAACACUAACUCAAACACAUUAAACUCAACCUAUCAACUCAAUU